AGAAGCAAAACAUGGCGUCAUUGUUUCAGGGUGACAGACCGGAAGCAGCACAGGCCUGAUGGCGAACAAUCUCCCUGGCAGGUUGUCAGACCUUAGCCUGUGUGGGGUGUAGACUUCCUGCUGGAGCACAGCCAGCCAUGAGUGUGAGGAAGAUUUACUAUACUGGCAUUUCCACCUUAUGUGGGGCAAUCCCUAUAAAGAGGCAAUCAACCCACUUGUGCCUCAGUGCUAGAAAAGAAGCAGGAAAGAGGUCACUGGUUGGUUACUCCACACCAGAAAGACGUUUACACACUUUGCAUCCAGUUAAACUGCAUAUAAUUAGAGAUGCAAAUCUUUCAGUGUGUAGCGAUUCGAAUCAGAAAUGAUUUCCAAUUCAGAAACCAAUUUUUCUGUUCAAACCGUCUUAUGUCACUGACGAGAGGAGAAAACAGUGGAAACAAAUAGAACAGUUAUUUAAAACAAUUCCAUACUGUUCCACAUACUGUACCAAAUUCAAUCAGUUUGAGCAAAAAUAGGUUUGUGCACCAAAUUCUGUAACUUAAAUUACCAGCCUUAAGCUAAUCUGGCUGCGUGGCUUUUUCUUAACCCUCUUGCGGUCUUAGCGUGAUGCUAGGGAGAAGCACAGCAAAUCUCACAGUAGGACAGCGGGUGAAGCGGUGGAGAGUGUCCCGUCAGACCGUCAGUUUCCGAAACAACACACACAAAAAAACCUUGUAAAAGUGCGGUUCAGUGAACCGCGCACCGGGUAAAAAGCUGGCAGUGUCCAAUGGACCUGUCUCUUAAGACCGCAGGAUGGUUAAAUAAAGUAUGAAAGCAUUUUUCAAAAUGCAUACAGUGGGCAAGGCGUCCUUCUAUGGUGACCAAGUGGAUGUUAAUGUGAUAUCCAGUAUGCGACCAGCAAAGUUGUACAAUUUAAACGUAUUUUAAAAUGGAUUUUUCAGCAUUUUGGAUCGAUUUGGAAUUCCCAGGACUAGCAAUUGCGAUUCUCUAUAGAAUAAUUUUUUUUCUGUACCUCUCUAUAUAGCUACUGCUAUUUUAAAAACUUCAUCCCUUUAGGGCUAAAAGAGUUGAGUUGAAGUAACCUUUUUAACUCUCCUAAGUUUCAGCACAAUCUAGAUAUUAAGGAGGUCUAAUAUUAAGAAGAGUUCAUUGACGACAUUCAGCACUUUCCUUGAGUUGGCAGCUCUAGAGUUUGUCUGAAAUGUCUAUUCUCAGCACCGAUGUUGAAAGCAUGUUGUAUAUUAUUUCAUCAGAUCAGGCAUUUCCAAAGAGCUAUAUCUAAUGAUGACAGCCUGAGAAAAUAAAAAGUCAGUCUUUUGAAAAAAUGAGGACAAUCAGCAGUUUGGGGCUCACUGAACCUUUUCAGAAGUAAUUUCAUCCAUGAAAGAAAUGAUUUCGCACUCAAUCGUUUACCGUCUGUGACUUAUGAGUGUCUCAAUAAGUUGCAGAUUAGCAGAUGAUUAUCACUUUGCGUUUGUCUGUCAUACAAAAUCCCAAUUAAAUACACCUUAAAACCAUCAUGUCUGACAAAAAAAAAGAUUUUUAAUCUGCUGGCUUGUGCAUAGCGUGGUUAAUGAGAGCUGAUCUAAUCACAGUGAUGGUCAAAGAGUGAACAGAAGAAGCUGGACCUGCAGAUACUGAUACUUCAGCAGAAAUAGGGCCACAGAUGUGUCUGGUUUCACAGUAUGUAUGCUUUUAAAGCAGGGCUUCUCAAACAGCAUUAGACUCAGGCCUGGGACCCCCUUAGCAAAAAAAACAAAACAAGAAUGUGUCUUUUCUUACUUUUUUUUACUAUUCAAUAAUUAUAAAAAAAAUGUUUAAACAUAAUGCUGCAUCAUACUUUCCCGUGAGUUCUUAGGUUUCCUUCAGCAGACUCCUCCACAGCAGGGCUGCUGGACGGCUCCUUCUGACUUUCUCUUGUCAGAAACUGUCAGAAAAUGUCAGAAACACUUGCUAGCUGUGCUCGUCAUGCUAGCUUGACGAACAGAGCAGCUUGAUAAAUAAAUAACUUAUAUUUUAUAAUAUUGAUUGGAAAACAGAGUAUUUUAUGACUAAAAGAUAUAAUAAAAAAAUGUAUGAUUAAAAAAAAUACUACUAGUCAGUAUUUUUAUUGGUGCAUUUUUCUUUCUCUUCUUCUCUCCAACAUUCUGAGCCCCUGAUAUCGCCCCCUGCUGGCUCCCACUUUGAAAAACACUGAUUUAGACAACAAAGACUAGAAAACCGAAAGAAAAAUUUCAUCUUUACGCGCCCCCCGGCUAUGUGAGGAUCAAUUCAUUUUACCCCAGCGACAGAAUGGCCCUCUGACUCCCUGAUGUGCUUUCUCAGGUGAACUGAGGGAGAAGAGACCGCAUUAGCUCCUGCUGAUGGCUGCCUGCUGGGCUGACUGGUACAAGAGGACACGACAGCAACAAUGGCGCUCUGUCUGAAACGCUGCUGUUUCCACCAGCCGUGGCCACCGGAGGGGACUGACUGCUCUCAGAUCAGGGCCUCCUGGGACUCGUCCCACUCCAGGGUCGCCACGGCAACAGCCAUAACCACUAUAUCCCUUUGACACAGGGAGCAAAUUGGGUCCACCAGUGAUUGUGAAACUUUAAUCAACCCCCCCGAACCCCUCGGGGUUCCUCUCUCUCUGUUACCGUCAGCGGGCGCCAUGGAAACAACACUCCGCCACGUUCCUGUUCAUAAACGCCACCGAGGUCGGGCUGCAGGUAGCCGAUGUUCAUCUUGGAAGUGAUGAAUUAUUUGUUUAUUCGGCUAAAGAGCAGCGCUUACAUAAUCGCCAUAAAUCUGUAAAGCCACAGCGAUCCGUUAGGCUCCUUUAAGCAUCGCUGACGGCCAAAAUUAAUCAGAGGAAUUGAAAAAGUUCCCGAGCAACGCAGCUCUUUAUUCAGCAAGCGAACGCAGACGACGUAGAUCAACCCGGAGCUCUUCAAACACACGACUGCUUCCAGUUGGCUGCAAUGUUUCUUAACUGAAUAUUUAUGUGAAGUCAAGGGAAAAUAAGACAUGGUUUUCAUUUUGUUUCCCCAAAUAAACACUUGAAGAGCAUGGCCUACUUCUUAAUUAAGCUCCUUUUACACUGCUACCCCCACACAAAACUAAAAUCCUGUGUGUAACCCAGGGUAAAAACUGCCUUAGUCCCACCUUUGCUACUUCAUUGGUUAGAGUGACAGUCAGUCACACAGUGCAAUCAGCCAAUCACUGCACCUGAAGUAGGUUUUUCAGGCCUGCUCCAGCUUUCCCAAUCAGCUGUGAGAGGGAGAGCUGGAGACAAAGGAGCUGCAGGUUUGUGCUGUCAAACAAUUGGUUCUUUCUUUGUUUGUAUGCACUUUGUUUAAAAAACUCACAAUAUAAACCAUGUAGAUCUGAAUAUCCAGUGAGCUUGGAGCCAUGAAGCUACCAUGCACUGAUCUUUAAAAGGAAUUGGCCAGGUGAUUUCCCCUUUUUGGGGUUAAAGGAUGGCGAGCUUCUAAGAUCUGGCUGGAGCCAGGAGAACCAAAUUUCACUCCAUACUGGUCUGGUAGGAGUUUGAUGGUCCAUGAACUUUCCCCUCCUUCUCAUUACACAGACACACUACCCAUUAUUCACCCUUUCCAUCAGAGCUGAAUUGCGCUUGGACAUUUUCCCUUAAAGUUUCUGGAUAAACAAACUAUGGACUUUUAAAUGUGUGU